ACUGCCGCACUCCCGCUCCGCCGCCGAUCUACCUUGUGAGUUUUUGUAUAUUUUAUGAAAUAUUGUUUCAAUUUUUGAAUUUUUGGGAGUUGACAAUAAUUAUUUUAUUACAUUUGAAAUUAUUGAUUAAUGUAUUUCGUAUUUUAGGGUUUAUUAGGUAUACAUUUUGAAUUUUAUAAAUUACUUGUAUAUAUAUUUUGAAUUUUUAGAAUUAUUUUAUAUAUAUAUAUAUAUAUAUAUGUAAUUAUUGUAUAAAUUAGGUUUAUUAAAUAUUAUUGUACUCAUGUAUGCACACAUAUGACAGAAAUGCGUAUGUUCCUAGUAUCUGUGUUACUAAUGUUAUUUGAUUCUUGCGUGGUAUUUGUAUUUGCAUAGAUAUAAAAUUUCUCAAGUUAGGAAAAUCAUAAAGGGGACAUUGGCAUGUGCUAUAUAAUGGUUUGGCCAAGAUGUGGUUUUUAGUGCUAGCUCAAUGUUCAGCUAAACCAUAUUGUUUCCCGCACCUAUGCAAUUCUAGAGUACUUUUUUCUAAGCAAAUUAACUUCUUAUAUUUUGUGGUGUUUAGACAGCAGGAAUGUUAUUUUUUUAUUUCUAUGCUUUUGAAAUUCAUGUGCUGUAAACCUGUAAUUGGAGAUUGUGGCAUCAUCCAUUUUAUUUCUCUGUAUUUUGUUCCCAUUUUCUAAUUCCCAGAUUAGAGUAAAGAGAUCAAUUCAUAACAACUGUUCAAUUACUCUAAUUUGUGCUUUCAAUUAAAACUAUGUUAUUUUAUAGCAAAAUUUACAUUCCUUUAUGGCAGCUUUUGUACCUGUCAUCAUUGUUGUUGCUCUUUUAUUUCUGUCUUUUUAUCUUUUUGGAAUCAAAUAAUAGUAUUGUGUUUUAGAAGUGGUGGCACCAAGACAGUGCCCUGAGAAGUUUCUGAUUGGUGGAAAAUCUAGCGCUAACAUAAAUAAGUUGGUAUUAAUGAAUGGCUUAAGGAAGUGGCUGAAGCUCAACAAUGGAACUUUUGCAAGUAAUUUUGUGCCACUUUGACUUUAUAAUUACUUUUUGAGUUUUCCAGUAAAAACUAAAAUGAAGCAUCUGUUCAAAUUAAAUAAUCUUUUACGAAACAUUAUCAGUAUUUAUGAGUCCUUACUUCUACUUAUGUUAAGAAAUUUUCUUUUUCUUUCUUAUGGUUGUCCCACUUUGAUGUGAUCUAAAAAUUGAUGACACCAUGACACACCUGCAAUGCAAGUAAUGCUAUGUGACCUGCAAUGCAAGGGAGAGUAUACAAAUUGAAGACCAUGGAUUUCAAGUUCUUGCUGUUAAGAUGCUGACAUGGCAGAGGGAGUGCUCAAAACUGAUGAUUUCUUUCCAUCACAGGCAGCAACUGGGUAUUUUUGAUUGAAGUUGAAUAAAUAGUGGAGAGAGUUGGUUCAUUGAGCUACAAUCAACAACAGAUUGAUGAAGUUAGAGACACAUGGGCCAAGUACUUCAUUGAUGAUGGAUUAAUACAUUGCAUUAGUAUGUGAAAUAGUAAUUGAUGUAUUGCUUUUAUUGCUUUUGGUACAAAGUUUGAGAUAAGAUUAUGGUUUGUAUUAAUUAAUAUAGAUAAUUUUUGAUGAACUUGUAUUAUUAAUUAUUAUCAAUUGUGAGAUUUAUUGCUUUUAUUAAUUUUGAUAUUAUA